rnacentral:rRNA from 1 species
AUGGCGACGAGCGCGGCGACGGGGGUGAUGAACCCCCUCAUCGGCAAGCUCACCGCGCUGAUGGGAGAGGAGUACAAGAAGCUCAAAGGGGUGAGGAAGGGGGUGGCUUUUCUCAGGGACGAGCUCAGCGCCAUGAACGCCGCCCUUGAGAAGCUGGAGCUCAUGGAGAAGCUCGAGCCAGGUACCAAGGACUGGAGGGACCAUGUCAGGGAGAUGUCCUACGACAUGGAGAAUUGCAUCGAUGACUUCAUGCAGGACAUCGGAGGUGCCGACGCCAACGCCGGUGCAGGCUUCAUGAAGAGGAUGUCUCGGCGCCUCAAGACGCUGCGGGUGCGUCACCGGAUUGCCGGCCGGAUCGAGGACCUCAAGGCUCUUGCGGUAGAGGCAAAUGAACGCCGAUUAAGGUACAAGAUUGAUGAUUGCAAUACAAGUUGUGGCUCCGUGGAUAUUGAUCCUCGGAUUUGA